GGGCCGGUAGCUCAGCGUGGGAGAGCGCCCGCCUAGGCGCCAGUGAGCGCCGCGGCCUGCAGGCGUGCUUGCACGCUAAGAGCGCGGGAGGACCCGGGUUCAAGUCCCGGCCGGUCCACCA
rnacentral:tRNA from 1 species